rnacentral:rRNA from 1 species
GACGAACCGUCCAAACGUUACUCGGAAUUACUGGGCUUAAAGGGCGCGUAGGCUGCGCGGAAAGUUGGAUGUGAAAUCCCUCAGCUCAACUGGGGAAUUGCAUUCAAAACUACCGUGCUCGAGGGAGACAGAGGUAAGCGGAAUUCAAGGUGGAGCGGUGAAAUGCGUUGAUAUCUUGAGGAACACCGGUGGCGAAAGCGGCUUACUGGGUCUCUUCUGACGCUGAGGCGCGAAAGCUAAGGUAGCAAACGGGAUUAGAUACCCCGGUAGUCUUAGCUGUAAACGAUGAGCACUUGUUUUAAGGGUCCUCCAUAGCCUUUCAGACGUAGCGAAAGUGUUAAGUGCUCCGCCUGGGGAGUAUGGUCGCAAGGUUG